rnacentral:lncRNA from 1 species
AUACAUACAGGCAGGCGGCUGGCAGAGGUUAAGGCCUGACUUCUGCUCCCAGUCGACCCAGUCGACCCGGGUUCAAAUCCGCCUGCCGGCUCCUCGGGUGUUUGAGGAGUGAUGAAAUGGGAGGUGGCCCCCCAUCUUAUGGACGGUGUAGGACGUGAUAAUAUCAACUUGCGAGCUGACCAGGAACUAAGUUAAUGCGCCGUUGAUCCGCUAGAUUUGGUUGGAUGCUGGUGGUGAGUUGCCGAACCCAACGAAUACAUUCUGAAGUCGGAUGGGGUGACGGAUUAGGGUGCCCCUCUAGCAGGGGAGAGCAGGGACUGCCCCGGGAAAGGGGGCCGCUGGCGAAGUUAACCACCCUGUAACAACAUACAUACAUACAGC